rnacentral:sRNA from 1 species
AGUUUAUUUAAUAAAUACGACGGCUUACAUACUUCCAAAAUCUUAAAAACGUU